rnacentral:lncRNA from 1 species
AUAAUUGUUCUGCUGCCAAAAGACAAGAGACAGAAAAGAUUCCUUCUUCAUAUCUUUACAUAUCAACUUUUAAAGUAAAUUAUUUACUUUUUUACUGUAUUUUUAUCAGUGAUAAAUUUAUAUCCUUUAUCCACACUAACGUGAAAAAUUUAACCCAAAAUAUUGCUUUGAUAUGGCAGGUAUUUAGAAGUCAUUGGUUCAAUUCUUCCAUCAAUGAACAGAUUAGUAAAGUGAUUUGAGUGAUUUGCUUACCAUCAUACUUAUGGCUUAUACCUUAUUGUCGUUAACAGAUUUCAAGUGUCGUGUUCUCAGCUCAGUGAUCAUCCUACUAGAGUCACUAUUUCAUCCAUCAUAUUUCACCCAAUAUAUUCACGCUUACAGCUGAUGAAGAUGACAACCCAGAAAUGCCAACUAUCAUAGACAAAACCCCAAGAAUAGCCUCUCUCUAGCCAAUACACCAGGAAAGAGGCAGGCUAGCAAGACAGAACUUUUAGACAAUAUACCUCUCUACUGCAGUCAACCACCACACCAAAUGGUGGUCACACCCACACCAUCAAAGGCUGAGUGAGGAGCCUAGAUUUCCACCAUCGUUGGUCUAUAAUGAUGCACCCCAAUCUUUCCACCAAGCCAGUGUCAGAAAAGACCUAGCAGGGAGCCAGGAUGUUCAUCUCCAUCAACAAGUAACAAGAGUCCCCCCUCAUGAUGUAUGUGGAACACUGGCAACCACAUGGGGAGCCUAAACUCCCACUCCCUCCCAGUAGUAAUAAGGUGCCCUCUGGCUUGUCUCCCACUGGAGUGCUGUUGGAGGAGGCACAGUGAAGAAGCAAGACUUUCACAACUGCUCAGCACUAGUGAAGCCAUCCCCCUCAGUGUGCUAUGAAUAGAGGCUGGGGAACAGUUAAAAGACACUGUUGCACUUUCUAGCCAGGGUAAUAGCAAUGGAAGCUAAGAAGGAAGCUGAAACUCCCAAACUCGCCAAGCAAUCAUUACUAGCCCCCCACCUAGAGUGUCAAUGGAGGUCAAGUGGAGAACCUGGACUUCUACUUCACAUGGCAGUAAGAAGGCAGUGCCCACCCCCUCCAUCCCUGGAGCAGUCUCAGAGGAAGCCAGCUAAAAGAGAAGGUUGAACUAAGAUUCAGAGUUUUCUGGUAUAAAAUUAAAAAUGUCCAGGUUUCUAUUUUUGUAACUAUAAUAAAAUGUGGUAUUUAUACACAAUGGAAUAGUAUGCAUCAGUUUAAAAUAUGCCUAUCAUUAGUGACAGCAUGGAUGAACCUGGAGGACAUUACGUUAAGUAUAUGCCAGGCAUUGGUUCACUCAUAUGUUGAACCUAAAAGUGUUGAUCUCAUAGAAGUAGGGAAUAGAAUGGAG